ACGAGACCAGUCUCAUACUCGUGAAAAUCGAGAGAGGAGUUUAAAUGGAAAAAGUAAGUAAAAGUUUUUGUUUCUUAUAUUGGCAAGCUUUUAAAUUAUUUAAAGUUGAAGAACAAUUGUUUAUUAAUGUGAAGUCGAAGUUUGGGGUGAUUAGCCUUAUCUCGUUAAAUUUUGUUCAGCAUGAAACAGUCUGAACAGCAAUCCUCGAUUUUGUCAACAAUCUAAAACGUGCUAAGGAGUAGUCAUUCGUCGAUUUACCUGCGGCUUCCAGAUGAUCUGAAGAUCAGGAAUAUAGAAAAUAUUGUCAAUUUGAUAUUGCUGAUGAUCCAGUCAAGUCUGCUGAAGCCCAGAAGUUUCCAGACCAUGACAUUAAUGAAUAUUUCUUGAAUGGAAUGCAUGGGGAUUAGAAUGGAACCUUAUUCUGCCUUUUUACCAACUCACACCAUCUUUUCAAGAUUUAUGGAGCCAACCACAGAAGAAUUUGUUCUAUACACAUCAUUCAUAACAUUCUUAUUUAUGUUGCAUAACUUUAAAUGUUACUGGAUGAAUUGUGUUCACGUAAUGAAUACCAGCAAACUUUUUAUCGA